UUAAAUGAAGGAUAUAUAUAUAUAUAAUUAAUUAAUUAAUUAAUUAAAAGUUGUAUAAUUAAGAAAUAGUUAAUAUGCAUGUUAUAUGAUAUAUUGUGUUUUAAUAAUAAUUUUAAAAUUUAAAUAGUAAUUUAAUACAAUUUUUUGUGAAAAUAAUUAUAUAAAAUUGCUUCAAAAUCUAAACUCAAAUUGGAAUUGCCCUGAAUCCAAAUAUCUGAAGUUCAAUCAUACUAAAAUUUUGAUUUUGAUUUGAUUUUGAUCUCGAAUUCGUAAUAGAAGCCACAGUUGUCCCACCAUAACAAUAUUUAUACUGCCUCUUUAAACCACCACAGUUAUGUAGUUUGUUAUUUGAUUUCUCCAUAUCAAUUAGGGUUUUACACUUUCAUUGUAAAUUAACAACAAUAUGAGGGAAAUGAGCCUUUAAAAGGAAAUUCUAGUAUCAUGCAUAAAAUGAAGCGUAGAGGGAAAUUUGAAAAUAACACAUAGGAAAGAUGGCAUUCCAAAUAUCCUAAAUUGAUUCUUCUUCCAAUACUACAUCAUUAGCACUCCACAAAAAGGUUCCAAGGAUCUCUACUUCCCAACCCAAUAAUCCCAUAGCUUUAUAACUCAAUGCAAACCUUGUUUCUGGAAACAACACUGGUCAAUGCCAUCCGGUUCUCUGUGACAAUUAUUAUUGGAGUCAUGUUUGGUGUUAUCUUCUGGAACAAAGGAGGCCAGAAGUGUGUAUGCAACUUUUAGUUUUCUAACACUUCCCAAUUAUGCUUUCACUAAUUUGUAUACUGUAUACUUACAUGGAUUCUGUUUGCAUCUUCCCUGUUAACAGAAAAACAAGACAGGAACUGACCAAUCUGCUUGGAGCUACCUAUGCUGCUAUCCUUUUCCUAGGAGCUAGCAAUGCUUCUGCUGUGUAAUCUGUUGUGGCAGUAGAGAGAACAGUUUUCUAUCUUGAGAGAGCAGGCAGGGAUAUAUUCAGAGUUGCCUUGUGCAUUUGCUCAGGUGGCUACAGAGACUAUUUAUGUUGCAAUCCAAACCUUUGUUUA